GUUCGGUCCAAUUUUCUCCGCUGCGGGAAUUUCCCUAGGGUUUUGGUAGAAAGCCCUAACUGCUGAAAUUAGCUAGAUCGAAUUACUUUAUCUCGGGUUCAGUUCGAUCCUUCAAUCUCUGCAGCGGAGAAGUUAGGAUGCGGAGAAGAUUGAAGAGGAGAAGCUCACUCAAGAGUCGGCUCCUAUCUUAGUGAGGUCGUACUCUUGGAGUAUACACUCAUUGGAUAUUCCACCCUCACUUGUUGAUGGCAGUUCCAUGUCAUCAUCUCACAUCAUCAUCACUUACAUCUCAAUUAAAUUAGUGUAUCUAUAUACGAUGACAAGAACGGCACAAGGAAGGACGAGAUCACUGCAUUCAGAGGGCACACAUUUGGCGGCGACACAAAUGUGUUCAGGCUUUCUAUGAGAGAUUGAAAGAGAUUGUUUUAACUUUUCCUCCAACCCUAGGAAUGUUUGUUUAUAGUUGUUUAACUGAAAAUAUUUUCUUGCUUCUUUGUUUAGAUUCACGAGUAUUGUCGGCAACAUCCUUCUGCACAAGUUGUAGAUGUGAUCGAGAAGUUUAGUGGAUGUCUUAAGGAAAAGUUAGCUGUUAAAUUUAGUGGCGAGGUAUGCAAAUUCUAUAAUACUACUAAAGAAAAUUAUUACAAUGUUGCAAAAAUUUGUUGUAUACAAAAUUGAAUGUUGCAUUAACUUGUUAUAAACUGUUACUAUGUAUGAAAAUCUUUUUGUAGUUUUUAAAACUGAAUGUUGCAUUAAUUGGUUAUAAGUUGGUAGUUAUGUGUGCAUAGGAGAACAAUAGAGACAAUAUUACACAGAACAAGUCUAACAUCAGUUGCUUUUCGGGACGGCUGAUGGACAUGUGUGCAAAAUAUA